CGAACGCUGGCGGCGUGCUUAACACAUGCAAGUCGAACGGUGAAGCGCCUUCCUUUUUGGUGGGUGUGGAUGAGUGGCGAACGGGUGAGUAACACGUGAGUAACCUGCCCCCUUCUUCUGGAUAACCGCAUGAAAGUGUGGCUAAUACGGGAUAUUCUGGGUCUGUCGCAUGAUGGGUCUGGGAAAGAUAUUGUUUCGGUGGGGGAUGGGCUCGCGGCCUAUCAGCUUGUUGGUGGGGUGAUGGCCUACCAAGGCGGUGACGGGUAGCCGGCCUGAGAGGGUGGACGGUCACACUGGGACUGAGACACGGAGCAGACUCCUACGGGAGGCAGCAGUGGGGAAUAGUGCACAAUGGGCGCAAGCCUGAUGCAGCGACGCCGCGUGAGGGAUGGAGGCCUUCGGGUUGUGAACCUCUUUCGCCAGUGAAGCAGGCCUGCCUCGUUUGUGGGUGGGUUGACGGUAGCUGGAUAAGAAGCGCCGGCUAACUACGUG
rnacentral:rRNA from 1 species